UCGCUCGACCGUACAGAGGUAUUCUCCC
rnacentral:piRNA from 1 species